GAUGAACGCUGGCGGCGUGCCUAAUACAUGCAAGUCGAGCGAACAGACGAGGAGCUUGCUCCUUUGACGUUAGCGGCGGACGGGUGAGUAACACGUGGAUAACCUACCUAUAAGACUGGAAUAACUUCGGGAAACCGGAGCUAAUACCGGAUAACAUGUUGAACCGCAUGGUUCAACAGUGAAAGACGGUCUUGCUGUCACUUAUAGAUGGAUCCGCGCCGCAUUAGCUAGUUGGUAAGGUAACGGCUUACCAAGGCAACGAUGCGUAGCCGACCUGAGAGGGUGAUCGGCCACACUGGAACUGAGACACGGUCCAGACUCCUACGGGAGGCAGCAGUAGGGAAUCUUCCGCAAUGGGCGAAAGCCUGACGGAGCAACGCCGCGUGAGUGAAGAAGGUCUUCGGAUCGUAAAACUCUGUUAUUAGGGAAGAACAAAUGUGUAAGUAACUAUGCACGUCUUGACGGUACCUAAUCAGAAAGCCACGGCUAACUACGUG
rnacentral:rRNA from 1 species